GUGUCAGCAGCCGCGGUAAUACGUAGGGUGCAAGCGUUAAUCGGAAUUACUGGGCGUAAAGCGUGCGCAGGCGGUUAUGCAAGACAGAUGUGAAAUCCCCGGGCUUAACCUGGGAACUGCAUUUGUGACUGCAUAGCUGGAGUACGGUAGAGGGGGAUGGAAUUCCGCGUGUAGCAGUGAAAUGCGUAGAUAUGCGGAGGAACACCGAUGGCGAAGGCAGUCCCCUGGACCUGUACUGACGCUCAUGCACGAAAGCGUGGGGAGCAAACAGGAUUAGAUACCACCGGAGUAC
rnacentral:rRNA from 1 species